GAGCCACUGGCAUUACGGCGGGGAGCGCGACAGGGCACCCGCACUUCAGGCUGCGUCCUGAGCAGUGAGUUGGGGGAAAGGACGACCCGGGCCCCUUCGCGCUGGCCGUGAGUCCUGGCAUCUUCACGGUGUGUCUGGGCUCGCGGGAGGCGGCAGGAAGGCUCAGGCGGCCAUCGGGAGCGGCCGGCGAGGGUGCGGCCUUGGAGCAGGUGAGCUGGGAGGCGCGGUGGAGCCCCGGGCACUCGCCCCGCGCUCGGCCCGCCCGAGACCUGCGGCCCGGGCCGCGGAGACCAUGGCCCGCCUCUUCAGCCCCCGGCCGCCCCCCAGCGAGGACCUCUUCUACGAGACCUACUACAGCCUGAGCCAGCAGUACCCGCUGCUGCUGCUGCUGCUCGCCGUCGUUCUCUGCGGGCUCCUGGCGCUGCUCGCUGUCGCCUGGGCCAGCGGCAGGGAGCUGACGUCAGACCCAGGCUUCCUUACCACAGUGUUAUGCGCCUUGGGUGGCUUCUCGCUGCUGCUGGGCCUAGCUUCCCGGGAGCAGCGACUGCAGCGCUGGACACGGUCACUGUCUGGCCUUGUGUGGGCUGCACUGCUGGCUCUAGGCCAGGGCUUCGUGUUUACUGGGGGCAUCGUGAGUGCCUGGGACCAGGUGUCCUUCUUCCUCUUCAUCAUCUUCACUGUGUAUGCCAUGCUGCCCUUGGGCAUGUGGGAAGCUGCCGCUGCAGGCCUCACCUCCUCACUCUCACACUUACUGGUCCUCGGACUCUACCUUGGGCCACAGCCGGACUCCCAACCUGCGCUGCUGCCACAGUUGGCAGCCAAUGCAGUGCUGUUCUUGUGUGGGAAUGUGGUGGGGGCGUACCACAAGGCACUGAUGGAGCGCGCACUGCGUGCCACCUUCCGGGAGGCACUCAGCUCCCUGCACUCUCGCCGGAGACUGGACACAGAGAAAAAGCACCAGGAACACUUGCUCCUGUCCAUCCUUCCUGCCUACCUGGCCCGAGAGAUGAAAGCAGAGAUCAUGGCACGGCUACAAACUGGACAGGAGUCCCAGCCAGAGAACACCAAUAACUUCCACAGCCUCUAUGUGAAGAGGCACCAAGGAGUCAGUGUGCUGUAUGCUGACAUCGUGGGCUUCACACGGCUGGCCAGCGAGUGCUCUCCAAAGGAGCUGGUGCUCAUGCUCAAUGAGCUCUUCGGAAAGUUUGACCAGAUCGCCAAGGAGCACGAAUGCAUGCGGAUCAAAAUCCUGGGAGACUGCUACUACUGCGUCUCCGGGCUGCCACUAUCAUUGCCUGACCAUGCCGUCAACUGCGUGCGCAUGGGGCUGGACAUGUGCCGUGCCAUCAGGAAAUUGCGUGCAGCCACUGGUGUGGAUAUCAACAUGCGUGUGGGCGUGCACUCUGGCAGUGUGCUUUGUGGAGUCAUCGGGCUGCAGAAGUGGCAGUAUGACGUCUGGUCCCAUGAUGUCACACUGGCCAAUCACAUGGAGGCGAGCGGUGUACCAGGGCGGGUGCACAUCACAGGGGCUACCCUGACCCUGUUGGCAGGGGCCUAUGCUGUGGAGGACGCAGCCAUGGAACACCGAGACCCAUACCUUCGGGAGCUAGGGGAGCCUACGUACCUGGUCAUCGAUCCUCGGGCUGAGGAAGAGGAUGAGAAGGGCACCGCAGGAGGGUUACUGUUCUCUCUGGAAGGCCACAAGAUGCGCCCAUCACUGCUGAUGACCCGCUAUCUGCAGUCUUGGGGUGCAGCUAAGCCUUUUGCCCACCUGAGCCACAUAGACAAUCCUGUGUCCACCUCCACUCCUCUCCCGGAGAAGGCCCUGGCUUCCUUCAGCCCCCAGUGGAGCCUGGACCGGAGCUGGACCCCCCGGGGACUGGAUGAUGAGCUGGACACUGGGGAUGCCAAGUUCUUCCAGGUCAUCGAACAGCUCAACUCUCAGAAACAGUGGAAGCAGUCGAAGGACUUCAACUUACUGACACUGUACUUCAGAGAGAAAGAAAUGGAAAAACAGUAUCGGUUCUCGGCUCUCCCUGCCUUCAAAUACUACACAGCCUGCGCCUUCUUAGUUUUUGUGUCCAACUUCAUCAUCCAAAUGCUGGUAACGAACAGGCCCCCAGCUCUGGCCUUUACUUACAGCAUCACCUUCCUCCUCUUCCUUCUCCUUCUCUUCAUCUGCUUCUCAGAGCACCUGACGUGGUGUAUCCAGAAAGGUCCCAAGAUGCUGCACUGGCUGCCUGCACUGUCUGGCUUAGUAGCCACACAGCCUGGACUGCGAGUAGCUCUGGGUACUGCCACCAUCCUUCUCAUCUUUACCAUGGCCAUUGCCAGCCUGUUCUUCUUACCAGCAUCCGCAGACUGCCCUUUCCAGACCCCCAGUGUGUCCUCCGUGGGUUUCAACCUGUCCUGGGAGCUGCCUGGGUCACUGCCUCUCAUCAGUGUCCCGUACUCCAUGCACUGCUGUGUGCUGGGUUUCCUCUCCUGUUCCCUCUUUCUGCACAUGAGCUUUGAACUGAAGCUGGCGCUGCUCCUGCUGUGGCUGACGGCUUCCUGCUCCAUCUUCCUGUACUCCCAUGCCUGGCUGUCAGACUGCCUCAUCGCCCACCUCUACCUAAGUCCCUUGGACUCCAGGCCAGGAGUCCUGAAAGAACCAAAGCUGAUGGGAGCCAUCUCCUUCUUCAUCUUCUUCUUCACCCUCCUGGUCCUGGCUCGGCAGAAUGAAUAUUACUGCCGCCUGGACUUCCUGUGGAAGAAGAAACUGAGGCAGGAGCAGGAAGAGACAGAGACAAUGGAGAACCUGACCCGGCUGCUCUUGGAGAAUGUGCUUCCUGCACAUGUGGCCCCACAGUUCAUUGGCCAGAACCGGCGCAAUGAGGACCUCUACCACCAGUCCUAUGAGUGUGUUUGCGUGCUCUUCGCCUCAGUCCCAGACUUUAAGGAGUUUUAUUCUGAAUCCAACAUCAACCAUGAAGGGCUAGAGUGUCUGCGGCUGCUUAAUGAGAUAAUUGCUGAUUUUGAUGAGCUGCUUUCCAAGCCCAAGUUCAGUGGAGUAGAGAAGAUCAAAACUAUUGGCAGUACCUACAUGGCAGCCACAGGUUUAAAUGCCACCUCUGGACAAGAUGCACAACAGGAUGCUGAGCGAAGCUGCAGCCACCUUGGCACCAUGGUGGAAUUUGCAGUUGCCCUGGGGUCCAAGCUGGAUGUUAUCAGCAAGCACUCAUUCAACAACUUCCGACUGCGUGUGGGGUUGAACCAUGGACCAGUGGUGGCUGGAGUGAUUGGGGCUCAGAAGCCACAGUAUGAUAUCUGGGGCAACACAGUGAACGUGGCCAGUCGCAUGGAGAGCACAGGAGUCCUUGGCAAGAUCCAGGUGAGGGAGUGACACUGGAGGAAUGGAGAAGGAUGCUCCACACCACAAAGGUGUUGCCAGGAAGCCCCACAACCAUCGACACGGACAGUAGGAUCAUAGCCAACAGAGUAGGAGAGCCCGGGCAAAGGAGGAUCUAAUGGAGUGGAAAGACAGUUUCCUAACUGAGCCGUGGGGCUUCUUCCUACUCACAGACCUACUUGCAAAAUACCCAGCAGCAACAAGCAGCAUCAACGUUUCCGGCCCUUUCCAGCCUCCUCCCUUAGGUAAGGGCCCUCAAAUCCAGAAUUGAACUGGGAGACUUCCCUCACCAAAGUUACACCCUGUGAAAGGUUCGCUCCUCUGUCCCUGGCCUAGUCUUUAGUUAGCCCCUCAGGCCCACUGACUUCUUCCAACCACCUACCACUCUCCCCAAAGAUACCAGAGUAGAUCAGGAAUAAAAGUGUUAGAAGAAAUUACUGGGCAGGCAAAUCCUCCCAACAUCUUUUAUAGUGGUCAUGUUUUCUUUGGAGAUUCCUUGGCAUCUUCUUUCUUAGCUGCACCUGGUCCCUCCCCACCCCCAUCACCCCUACUCCUGGGGUACUUACAUACAAAUUUUGCCCGACACCGUUUAGAAGCUGAUGCCAAUCCCAGGGUGAGGCCUAGGUUGUAUAGCCGAUCACUUGAUCUGUCUCAGUGUCAGGGGGUUGACCUUGGAUCUGGUUGCUAUCAGCUAUGUUGGGCAGAGAGGAAGUUCCACGGAGCAGGGGAGGGGGAAGUCUCAUCUUCCUGAGGGUGGGGCUGAAAUAAACCCCCACUCCUCCCUUCAGUAGGAGGUGGAUAGUUUUUCUGUUCCAGGCAGCCAGGCCAAAUGAGAAGAGCCCUGGAAGGGGCAAUGAGAGGAAAUCGGCGUGUGGAGAAUGAGUUGGCGGGGGCGUGGUCUCAAGAUACAGGUCUAGACUAGAUAAAUGAACAAAGUAAUGAAUUCUAUCAUAGGAGAAGCAGGGAAAGAAACUAGAGGGCAUAAAAUGAGAAGCUAGAAUACUGGCAUCCAAACUAUUUUUUUCUUUGUAUUUCACAUAAAAAUAGGUCUUUAGAUUAAAAGGAAGUGUAAGUCGAAGCUGAAACUAGGUUCUGGACUUGGGUAUACUGUAGAUAACAUCAUGAUUUAAAGAAAGCAUGUCAGUAAACCAAAGGGGACAGCACCUUAUUCUUGGCUUGAGUUCAAACCACGAUCAGAGUUGUGGGGGAGGAGGGCAUCUCCUUGUACCUCCCCUCCUCCCUUCUCUUAAAAGGACUGAUUCUACUCUACAGCAACCAGUUCCCCAUUCUCUUUGGUAGAAGCUAGCGUCUAAGUGGCUGUAGUAUCACACAGAAUACCAAUGUCUUCCCUUUCUUCCAUCCACUCACCCUGUACUGGCCCAAAUGGUUACCCUGCUGAGUUUAGAUUUAGGCACUGAGUGCUGGGCAAGGAAAUCCCACAACAGCAUUCCCACAACGUUAGGUGGUCCAGUUCUAUCUUAAACAGGUGCAGAAAGUAGAGGCUGAGCCGAGCUAAAGGAAAAGUGAGGACACAGGGACAGUGAUGCCUUGGCCAAGAACCAAGGAGCGUGGAAAGGAAAACAGCUGCCAGAGUGUCACUCCUCUCCCUGCUUGCAUGGAAGGAGGUCUUCUUACAGUCUCCUGUGGAACCUAAGAAGUAAGAAUCCCUUGCUUUAGUCUACCAUAAGCCUUCCCGCUUCUCUUUCAACCUGGCCUCUUCACAGGGAAGAUGCAGGGUGUCACGGUCCCUUAUGCUCUCCAGCUUCCCCCACUUGCUGUGCAUUGAGAAAAGCCAGAGCAGAGUUGACCCAGUAACCGUCAGGCAGAGGAUAUGAUGAAAAGAAAUGGGCUGAAACCACAGCAAGAUCUGAAGGCUAGUGAGGAAGGACUUUCUGACCAUACAGCGUGUGUAAGCUGUGUAAUAUGUGACAGAGGAAGCUAGUGAACCUUGGCCCAAACACCCUGGAAGAAACCUGUGUUUUCAGCUUGGAGCUCCAGGGUCAACCUGAAGCCCCUUCAAAACCUGGAAGGUUUCACUUCCUUUCUCAAGCUGCUCCCUACCUCAAGUCUCUAAAGGGCCUUUCCUUCCCGUCAAGGAAGAGCUAUUCUAAGGAAAUUCCUUGAUGCCCUGGUUUAGAGCCCCUGAAACAUUAGUUUCAGUGGCAUCGGCAUGUCCCUGAGCUCUAGAUUUCCUUUGCUCUCACCUCUGCCUGGAGGUUAUGAACAGUCAGUUAAACCGUCCCUAAAAUAGAGCCUGGGGUGAUGAUCAGAGUAACCAUCCAGGUGACCAACUAACUUAGAUUAGUGGAGUACUGACAGGGAUUUUCAGAGAAAGUUCUGAACUAACUGGGAUGGGUUGGUUAUUUGUGUGCCUGUGAACGCCCCUUGAAAAGAUUCUCACAGUAUACUCCCAAAAUUUAAAAUGUCAAGAUCCAGAAGGUUUUAGAACUAGCAAUGGAGAGAUUCCAAAAGGUGGAGACUAAGAAGCAUUGGAGAGGGGUUAGGAAUAGUGAGCAAUCUUGGGAGCUAGCAAGACUUAGCAGAGAGAAAAGAGAAAGGAGAAUUACACCUCCCUGAGGAAUUUUUCCUAUUUUCCAAAUAUUGUGGCCAUUCAUUAGGCUCCCCUGAUUCCCAGUCCCCAAACUUCCCCUGGCUAAGCAAGAGCUGGCUCCUAAGUACCUUUUUAAGUCUGCCUAGAGGUGGGGUAGGCAGGCAGUCAGGUAAGUCUCUAUCAGGCCCCUGCACCACUGUGUACUCUUUGUGUGCCUCGCUCUACCUGUACCAACUACAAGACAGGCAGGAACAUUUCCUUUCAAACCCCAUUGAUUCACUUUCCCUUUUCAGAUCAGUUUUUUUUUUUUUUUCCCCAUGCAGCUCUAACAAACCCCAAAGAAUGGAUCUCAUCUUUAUCUCUAUCCAAAUUGCCAUACCUUUCCUUCCUUCCUCCCUUUAUUUCCAGAGUGGUUCUAUGGAUAAGCCUAAGGGACCAGGUCAUCCAGGCUGGAGAGGACAGGCCAGGAUGCCACUGAAGUCUGGCUGCAGUGUCACUCCUUGGACUGGCCCAGCUGGGAAGCAGGUGACAUCAGUACAACUCAAGCAUGACGAACCACAAAAGGGAGAUUACUUAAACUAUCAUCUAAUGGCUUCCCAGUGUAUUUCACAAGAGCUGCCAGAGACAGGUGAGCAAUGCCAGCACAUGGCCACAUGCCAACCUUCAAGAAACCAAUAUUUUUAACAUGGGUCAUCCACUCUUGCAAUCCCGCAGUUUGGAAGAACCUGGGUCUGUCUCAAGUGUGUAAUAAUCCUGCUCAGCCAACUACAAAC